CAAUAGCGUAUAUUAAAGUUGUUGCAGUUAAAAAGCUCGUAGUUGAAUUUCGGGUCCCCGCGCUCGGCGCUUCGUUGUGCCGUCGUGGUGUCCCUCCUCGCCGUCAGGCGUCCUUUACUGUGAAAAAAUUAGAGUGUUCAAAGCAGGCAAUCGCUUGAAUACAUUAGCAUGGAAUAAUAAGAUAGGAUCUUGUCUAUUUUGUUGGUUGCGGACAAUGAUAAUGAUUAAUAGGGAUAGUUGGGGGUGUCCGUAUUGAGCUGUCAGAGGUGAAAUUCUUGGAUUUGCUCAAGACGAACUACUGCGAAAGCAUUCACCAAGGAUGUUUUCAUUA
rnacentral:rRNA from 1 species